rnacentral:rRNA from 1 species
CAAUAGCGUAUAUUAAAGUUGUUGCGGUUAAAAAGCUCGUAGUUGGAUUUCUGCCGAGGACGACCGGUCCGCCCUCUGGGUGUGUAUCUGGUUUGGCCUGGGCAUCUUCUUGGAGAACGUAGCUGCACUUGACUGUGUGGUGCGGUGUCCAGGACUUUUACUUUGAGGAAAUUAGAGUGUUUCAAGCAGGCACACGCCUUGAAUACAUUAGCAUGGAAUAAUAAGAUAGGACCUCGGUUCUAUUUUGUUGGUUUCUAGAGCUUAGGUAAUGAUUAAUAGGGAUAGUUGGGGGCAUUCGUAUUUAACUGUCAGAGGUGAAAUUCUUGGAUUUGUUAAAGACGGACUACUGCGAAGGCAUUUGCCAAGGAUGUUUUCAUUGA